UACAUCCGUUUUACCUCAUUUCUAUCAGCAUGUCAUGUGCAACCAGAAGCGAACAAAUCUCCAGACCACCUUUACUCCACACAGAGCUCUCCCUCGCUAAUCUGACAAUAAUUCUACCAUGAUUCCUGUGUACAGGCAAAAACUAAAGCAGGAGGUACCAGUGACUCGCUCAAACGGAAGAGGUCAGAUGAUACGCUUACAGGACUGGAAUUUAUUCCGGGAUUCAUCCAAUGGCACUGAGGAAUACACCACCAUCAACUGCAGAGUGCGUUAUCACAGUCAUCCAGAACAGCUGGUAUUCCAUUUAGCUAGUCUGGUCGGCUCGCGUCUGGGUUCCCCUUUUAGUCCGUAACAGUUGUAUUCGGCACGUGACAAAUACAAUUUGAUUUCAUCCUAACAUGUUUUACUUCCCGAAACAUAAUUGUUGGUUGACGUUAGGUGGCUAGCUAGUAGGCACCUCUAAAAGGUUGAAAGAACAGCACAGAAAACCAAGUAAGAAGUUGCUAGACCUGUGCUAUUUUAAACAAUCGUUGGGAAAUGAAUACAAUCUUUAGUCAGAAUCGAGAAAUAUAACAUAGCUUCUACUGUUAGCUACUAUGAGCCAAUAUGAAAACACAGCAGCUGUUGCUUACAACAGUAACUUCCGGUCAAGGACAUGAUCUCGUUCGUGAAAUAUCUCAAUCUGCUGUGCAUGAUAGGGACUCCAUGGGUCAGAACUUUAACAAAAAACAAAACAAAUAAGCAUUAAACAACAAAAUAAUAAACAACCACGGGUGAGAAAGUUAAUCCAUCGAUAAACACUAAAAUGAGGUACUGGGACACUACUUCGUGUCACACCGGAGUUUUUAUGCAGUAACACUAUAUCCACAAUUAGGAAUGCCAGUUAUUUUCGACAAAUUAUUUUUCGAUUUUGAAUGUCAUACACAUCCACACGAACGUAUAAAAUAUGUAACAUUCUAUAAAUGUUUUAAAAACAAUGUCUAAUGAUUAUAGAAUGUUUUGUAACGUUACCUUUCAAUCCUCAUCCACUGCAGUCCCCUUUUCACAACAUGUACUUCGGGAACCUGGCUGGGUGAAUGACUUCGUUGCUGUGUUGAAGAAAUUGUGAUUGUUCAUGCAUUUUGUGCACCCAACUUGAUAUCUAAAUAACUCGAAUUUGACCACCAUAUGGCUGCCCAGGUAACAAAGGCAGACCAGAUUAAACAGUUCAAAUAAUUUCUUGGCCCCUACAAUAAACUCAGAGAACUGCUUCAUGGACUGUGUGAGGGAUUUUACCACUAGAGAAGUAAAGCCAGAGUCCACCUGUUCAGAGAGCUGCCUACAGAAGUACCUGAAUGACCCAGCGCAUCCAGGACUACCACAUCCAACAGAACGAAGCCCCGGCACAGAAAGCAGGUUUAAUGGGACCACGGUAGAGAACUACCGCCCUUUGAACA